AUGCCCUCCCUCACUCGCUCGCGCGCUCCAAGAGCUAUGGCAAGCCGUUGUAACAUUUAUUCCUUUAAACAACAGAAAAAAUGUUACAGUAUUCAAAGUAUACAUAUUAAGAUUACACCUUUUUCAAUUUUACUAGCAACUUACUAUUCCAGAUGUGGACAGAUUAAUAAUCAGUUAAUAAUAAGCAGUUGGGGUUCCAGUGCCUUGCUUAAGGGCACCUCAGUCAUGGUACUGAGGGUGGAAGAGAGUAUUGGUCAUUUACUCCCCUUGCCUCCAACCCCUGCCAGCACUGAGACUCAAACCUGUGACCUUCAGGUUAUAAGUCUGACUAACUAUUAGUCAACAACUGCCUAAGUAAAGAAUCUUUUCUUUUCUUUCAAAUAUCAGUAUUCAACAUUUUAUGGUUAAAAUAUCAUAACAUUGUUUACGAAUUUGUUUACUGCAAGUUAAAUCUUUCCCAGUCCCUCUGAACUGCAUUAAACAGUAUGUAAACACAUCUGAAUGUCACUUCAGAUGCAGUUUCUGUGUUUCCUCUGCAUUGCAAAGAUGAACUUAGUUGCUGAUUUCAGUUUCUUGGUUACAGCCCAAAUAUCUGAUUAAAUGACUGAUCAUGACUGUAUAUAUAUUUAAACUUGAUAUAUUUAAACUUAAUGGAAAAUAUAAAUUUAUAUCACUUCUUUGAACUGACCACCACACAGUAUAUGAAGAAUAUCAAAAACUUUAGGACUUCGCUGUCCACAGUAGUCCUAAAGAUACCAGCACAAUAACAGACUCGGCAAAAUAUUGUCUAAUUAUCAUUAUCUAUUAAAUCCCAGAAAAUACUGACAUAUCAUUUCUAGUCAAUAUCGCACACCACUAAUCAUAGCAACAUGAAAAAGGCUGUCUCAUUUCAAAGGGUAAUUUAAAUGUGUCCUCAAAAUGCAUCCUUUGUUUCGAGGCCACAAUUAAUGGUUCCUUAAUGGCCCAGACUAUACCAAGAUUCAUUGCACUCAUGUGACGACAAGAUUUCUUUCAGAGAAAAAUACCUGGAUUACACAUUUAAAUUUGAACAUUAAUUUUCAACUUACCCAAAAAUCUAACUAUACAAAUUUAAACACACACACACACACACACUUGUUUAAAGGUGGGGUGAAAUGCUCGGUUUCACUCAAUAUCCUGUUAAUCUUGAGUACCUAUAGAGUAGUACUGCAUCCUUCAUUACUCCAAAAAGUCUUUAGUUUUAUUAUAUUCAUAAGAGAAAGAUAGUCUGUACCGAUUUUUCCCGGAAAAACACAACCGGCUGGAGGUGUGACGUGUGGGCGGAGCUAAAGAAUCACGAGCGCGAGUAAGCUUUUGUGUUGAGAGCAUUUGGAAGUUGUGACAUUACGGUGAGGAAAAAAAAACAUUAUCCAAAACAAACCAUGGCUAACAGUCAGAUUCAGCUGUUUAUUUAUGAUCCAGAAUCAGAUCCCGAGGCUGAAACUGAACGAGAGCAGCAGCAGCAACGACUCGCUCCAAGCGGGGCUCGAACCCCGGUCUCCGACAUGGGAGGGGACGCACUAACAAGGAGGCAGAGAUAUUUUAAGCAGUUUUACUCACCGCCUGUGGUUCCAACACACGAUUGUAACCCUUUUUCGUUGGGAUUGCAUUAUCCUUAAGAAAUAAACGAUGUGCAAAUCCGGCGUCAAACUGGGCCUUGUUUGUAAAACAAGCAUCUUCGAAAUGCAGGGAACAAACACAAAGUACAGUGUAAAAAACUCAGUAUAUGAAAUAGCAUUUCAACCCCCCCCCCCCCUUUAACAAUGGUUCAGUUCAACCUUCAUGGACUUUGAAGGAUGUAGCCUCUGAAUUAGAACAGCGAUAUUAUUUACAGAAUCACAAAAAUAAAUAAAUAAAUAAAUAAAUUUUUGCUUGUUGUUGUUUGACAGGAUAAUAAAUGUAGGCUGUAAGUUAAAUAAAAUGUACUAGUAAC
ensembl:lncRNA